GACGAACGCUGGCGGCGUGCCUAAUACAUGCAAGUAGAACGCUGAAGAGAGGAGCUUGCUCUUCUUGGAUGAGUUGCGAACGGGUGAGUAACGCGUAGGUAACCUGCCUUGUAGCGGGGGAUAACUAUUGGAAACGAUAGCUAAUACCGCAUAACAAUAGGUGACACAUGUCAUUUAUUUGAAAGGGGCAAUUGCUCCACUACAAGAUGGACCUGCGUUGUAUUAGCUAGUAGGUGAGGUAACGGCUCACCUAGGCGACGAUACAUAGCCGACCUGAGAGGGUGAACGGCCACACUGGGACUGAGACACGGCCCAGACUCCUACGGGGGGCAGCAGUAGGGGAUCUUCGGCCAUGGGGGCAACCCUGACCGAGCAACGCCGCGUGAGUGAAGAAGGUUUUCGGGUCGUAAAGCUCUGUUGUAAGUCAAGAACGAGUGUGAGAGUGGAAAGUUCACACUGUGACGGUAGCUUACCAGAAAGGGACGGCUAACUACGUG
rnacentral:rRNA from 1 species